GCUGUUAAAGUUCUUUGUAAUUAUAAAUAGAUGAAUAUUCUUGCGCACGUCGGGUUCUGUCUUGCAUUAAAUUGUGUUAUCGCAGAUACGUAGUUUGAACGGUUAAAUGUUCAUAGUUUCUUUAUAACAUAUGAAAAUAUAUUAAAACAGUUCGUCGCUGAUGUAAAUACAUAAUUUGUAAUGUUUUGAAAGUAACUCACGCUGUGGUUAGCCACGAAUUGUUCUUUUGGACAACGUGUCCGCUGAAUGUUCUUUGCAGUUGUGCACACGACUCGCUGAGCAUUUACGUCAUUAGAAGAGAGGGGAAAGUAACGCGGAUUCCUACACUGUCCUGUAUAAAACUCCUAAAACUGGCGCACAUAAAGCGAUGUACGCAAUGAAACGUUAACAAUAUAAAAUGAUGAUCAAAUGAAGAAUAAAUGAUGAAUAAGUUUCAGAA
rnacentral:lncRNA from 1 species